CUACGGGGGGCAGCAGUAAGGGAUAUUGCGCAAUGGGCGAAAGCCUGACGCAGCAACGCCGCGUGCGGGAUGACGGCCUUCGGGUUGUAAACCGCUUUUCAGGGUGAAGAGGAGGGACGGUAGCCCUGGAAUAAGUCUCGGCUAACUACGUGCCAGCAGCCGCGGUAAAACGUAGGAGGCGAGCGUUAUCCGGAUUUACUGGGUGUAAAGCGCGUGCAGGCGGCUUCGUAAGUCGUGCGUGAAAGCGCUCAGGCUCAACCGGGCGAGGACGUGCGAAACUGCGGAACUAGAGGUAGGUAGAGGCGUGUGGAAUUCCGGGUGUAGUGGUGAAAUGCGUAGAGAUCCGGAGGAACACCAGUGGCGAAGGCGACACGCUGGGCCUGACCUGACGCUAAGACGCGAAAGCAUGGGGAGCGAACGGGAUUAGAUACCCUGGUAGUC
rnacentral:rRNA from 1 species